rnacentral:rRNA from 1 species
GAUGAACGCUGGCGGCGUGCUUAACACAUGCAAGUCGAACGGAAAGGCCGAAGCUUGCUUCGGUACUCGAGUGGCGAACGGGUGAGUAACACGUGGGUGAUCUGCCCUGUACUUCGGGAUAAGCUUGGGAAACUGGGUCUAAUACCGGAUAUGACGACCUCUUGGAUGGGGUUGUGGAAAGCUUUUGCGGUAUGGGAUGAGCUCGCGGCCUAUCAGCGUGUUGGUGGGGUAAUGGCCUAGCAAGGCGUCGACGGGUAGCCGGCCUGAGAGGGUGUAGGGCCACAUUGGGACUGAGAGACAGCCCAGACUCCUACGGGAGGCAGCAGUGGGGAAUAUUGCACAAUGGGCGCAAGCCUGAUGCAGCGACGCCGCGUGGGGGAUGACGGCCUUCGGGUUGUAAACUCCUUUCGCAAUCGACGAAGCCUUUUGGUGACGGUAGGUUGAGAAGAAGCACCGGCUAACUACGUG